UACGAAGGGGGCUAGCGUUGCUCGGAAUCACUGGGCGUAAAGCGCACGUAGGCGGCUUUUAAGUCAGGGGUGAAAUCCUGGAGCUCAACUCCAGAACUGCCUUUGAUACUGAGGAUCUUGAGUUCGGGAGAGGUGAGUGGAACUGCGAGUGUAGAGGUGAAAUUCGUAGAUAUUCGCAAGAACACCAGUGGCGAAGGCGGCUCACUGGCCCGAUACUGACGCUGAGGCACGAAAGCGUGGGGAGCAAACAGGG
rnacentral:rRNA from 1 species